rnacentral:rRNA from 1 species
AGUAAGCGGAGGAUAAGAAACUAAAUAGGAUUCCCUUAGUAAUGGCGAAUGAACAGGGAUCAGCUCAGCAUGGAAAUUGGGGCCCUCGGCCUUGAAUUGUAGUCUCGAGAUGUAUCGCCAACGGAGGCGCAGAUGUAAGCCUCUUGGAAAGGAGCAUCAACGAGGGUGAGAGUCCCGUUUGUCAUCUGCAGUCCCCCGUGCACGGCAUACCUUCUAAGAGUCGCGUUCCUCGGAAUUGGAGCGUAAAUUGGGUGGUAAAUUUCAUCUCAAGCUAAAUAUUGGUUCGAGACCGAUAGCAAACAAGUACCAUGAGGGAAAGAUGAAAAGGACUUUGAAAAGAGAGUUAAAAGUGCCUGAAAUUGCUGAAAGGGAAGCGAAUGGAACCAGUGUUGCUUGGCAGGAUUGUCGGGUGCAUGACGCUCCUGAUCGUCUCCUGCCUUGUGUGUCAACGCCAGUUCGCGAUCGAGGAAAACUCCAGGGUCAUGGUAGCUUGUCUUCGGGUGAGUGAAUAGCCUUGGCAGAACUCAUUUGCGGACUGUUUCUUUCGUGUCUGGUUGCAGUGUCUUUGGCACCUUGGAGAUCUCGGCUUGGCCUGCCACAGUCGGGUGACCCAGGUGACUUGGGCAUUUCCCUGACGCAAAGACGAUGACUAAAUGGUUCUAUUCGACCCGUCUUGAAACACGGACCAAGGAGUCUAACAUAUGUGCGAGUCCACGGGUGGUAAACCUGCUGGCGCAGUGAAAGCGACUGCUGGGAUCUUUGCACCAGCAACCGACCAAUCAAUUGAGAGAGGUUUGAGUAUGAGCAUAUCUGUUAGGACCCGAAAGAUGGUGAACUAUGCCUGAGAAGGGCAAACUCACGGGAAACUCUGAUGGAGGCUCGUAGCGAUACUGACGUGCAAAUCGUUCGUCAUACUUGGGUAUAGGGGCGAAAGACUAAUCGAACCAUCUAGUAGCU